AUACUUACCUGGCAGGGGGGGCGCAGUGAUCACGAAGGUGGUUUUCCCAGGGCGAGGCCUACCCAUUGCACUCAGGGUAUGCUGACCCCAGCGAUUUCCCCAAAUGAGGGAAACUCGACUGCAUAAUUCAUGGUAGUGGGGGACUUUGUGUGUGCUCUCCCCUG